AUUGAACGCUGGCGGCAGGCCUAACACAUGCAAGUCGAGCGGAUGAAGGGAGCUUGCUCCUGGAUUCAGCGGCGGACGGGUGAGUAAUGCCUAGGAAUCUGCCUGGUAGUGGGGGAUAACGUCCGGAAACGGGCGCUAAUACCGCAUACGUCCUGAGGGAGAAAGUGGGGGAUCUUCGGACCUCACGCUAUCAGAUGGGCCUAGGUCGGAUUAGCUAGUUGGUGGGGUAAAGGCCUACCAAGGCGACGAUCCGUAACUGGUCUGAGAGGAUGAUCAGUCACACUGGAACUGAGACACGGUCCAGACUCCUACGGGAGGCAGCAGUGGGGAAUAUUGGACAAUGGGCGAAAGCCUGAUCCAGCCAUGCCGCGUGUGUGAAGAAGGUCUUCGGAUUGUAAAGCACUUUAAGUUGGGAGGAAGGGCAGUAAGUUAAUACCUUGCUGUUUUGACAUUACCAACUGAAUAAGCACCGGCUAACUUCGUG
rnacentral:rRNA from 1 species